ACUCCUACGGGAGGCAGCAGUGGGGAAUAUUGCACAAUGGGCGCAAGCCUGAUGCAGCCAUGCCGCGUGUAUGAAGAAGGCCUUCGGGUUGUAAAGUACUUUCAGCAGUGAGGAAGGUGGAUAUGUUAAUAGCAUAUUCAUUUGACGUUAGCUGCAGAAGAAGCACCGGCUAACUCCGUGCCAGCAGCCGCGGUAAUACGGAGGGUGCGAGCGUUAAUCGGAAUUACUGGGCGUAAAGCGCAUGCAGGUGGUUUGUUAAGUCAGAUGUGAAAGCCCGGGGCUCAACCUCGGAAUUGCAUUUGAAACUGGCAAACUAGAGUACUGUAGAGGGGGGGUAGAAUUUCAGGUGUAGCGGUGAAAUGCGUAGAGAUCUGAAGGAAUACCGGUGGCGAAGGCGGCCCCCUGGACAGAUACUGACACUCAGAUGCGAAAGCGUGGGGAGCAAACAGGAUUAGAUACCCUGGUAGCGUAG
rnacentral:rRNA from 1 species